rnacentral:rRNA from 1 species
GAUGAACGCUGGCGGCGUGCUUAACACAUGCAAGUCGAACGGAAAGGCUCCUGCUUGCAGGGGUACUCGAGUGGCGAACGGGUGAGUAACACGUGGGUGAUCUGCCCUGCACUUCGGGAUAAGCCUGGGAAACUGGGUCUAAUACCGGAUAGGACGAUGGUUUGGAUGCCAUUGUGGAAAGUUUUUCGGUGUGGGAUGAGCUCGCGGCCUAUCAGCUUGUUGGUGGGGUAAUGGCCUACCAAGGCGUCGACGGGUAGCCGGCCUGGGAGGGUGUACGGCCAAAUGGGGAUUGGGACACGCCCAGGCCCCCGCGGGGGGGAGGCGGGGGGAAUGUUUGAAAAAUGGCGGCAGCCCGAAUCCAGCGGCCCGGGGUGGGGGUUGACGGCCUGCGGUUUGUAAACCCUUUCCGCGGGGGAGGAACGCAAAGUGACGGUCCCUGGAAAAGAAGCCCCGGCUAACUACGUG